AUUGGCUGGCAACCAGUUCAGGGUGCACCCCGCCUCCUGCUCAUUGACAGCCGGGAAAGGCUCCGGCACUCCCCGCGGCCCGUGUGAGGAUAGGCGGCUAAGAAAAUGGCUGGAUGGAUCAAAUAAAUACCUGCAAAUUGCACCUUUGCCUCUCAGGGGCAGCGAUAUUACGAUUAGAAUAAUAGAAGACGAAAGGAGCGAAUUUGAUGAAUAUUACUAGUUUUUCAAAGAUUAAGAAUAUACGUCCGUAAUAUUGUUACAUGACCUGUUUGUGUGCGAAUAUUCCUCAUUUGAAGGCGACUCCCUCCCGCGUCGUCCAGUGCAAUUUUCGGCUAGCAGAUCACCUUGGGAAUUUCUGUCUUGGAGGACGAGAUUCUAGAUCCUUGGCGGAGCAGAAUCUUUGCGUCGAGAUUAUCGGCGCAUCAAAACUCUUCAAUUCCCGAUGUUUACAAAUCUCCAGGUGUGUACCAGGCUUCAGUAUGACACGGCGGCAGCACCAACACGGCCAAACCGGAGCAGGCUCGACCCUCGCGCACCCUCCACACGAAUGCGAUAUAAAAACACACAAGCAGGAAUGUACGUUCCCGGACGGUCUAUACAAUAUGAAAUCAAGUCAUAUUUCAAAAUAGUGUCAUCCGCUUAAGAUGUAUCGUUUACAAAUAAAGGAAAGCGGGCAUUUUUUUUUUUCUUCCUCCUAUGAUACAAAGAAAUGUAAUGCACCCUAAAUGAAGUCCAGGUAACUCGAGCAUGUUCGGGUUCAUCAUAAUUGACGAUUUCGAGAGUGCGUCCAGUCUCCGAUCGUCACCUUCGACGAGCGCGGAAAGGAGUCCCGGACGGGUCUUUCGAGCGCGUAGCGUUCCGAUCCGAUCAGUUUUGCGCCUCGUGUGACACGGACGCACGCCGCCGCGCGUCGCUCUGAAAUAAGGCAACGUGAUAUUAAAAAUGGCAUCCGUCCUUAGUUUUUAAUCCGUGGUGAGGAGUACGAACAAUUCAAGUAUGGGGAGGGGGACGGGGCGAGGUGGGGGAGUGGCGUUCUCAGACCUGGUCCGAACCUCCGGCACAAAAUAUGGACAUUCUUUUUUUUGAAAUGGCACGGUGCC